rnacentral:rRNA from 1 species
AGCGAACGCUGGCGGCAGGCUUAACGCAUGCAAGUCGAGCGCCCCGCAAGGGGAGCGGCAGACGGGUGAGUAACACGUUGAACGCACCCUUUGGUUCGGAACAUCCCAGGGAAACUUGGGCUAAUACCGGAUAAGCCCUCACGGGGAAAGAUUUAUCGCCGAAGGAUCGGCCCGCGUCUGAUUAGCUAGUUGGUGGGGUAAUGGCCCACCAAGGCGACGAUCAGUAGCUGGUCUGAGAGGAUGAUCAGCAUCACUGGGACUGAGACACGGCCCAGACUCCUACGGGAGGCAUCAGUGGGGAAUAUUGGACAAUGUGCGCAAGCCUGAUCCAGCCAUGCCGCGUUGGUGAUGAAGGCCCUAGGGUUGUAAAGCCCUUUCGGCGGGGAAGAUAAUGACGGUACCCGCAGAAGAAGCCCCGUCUGACUUCGUGCCAGCCGCCGCGGUAACAC